rnacentral:rRNA from 1 species
CUCCUACGGGAGGCAGCAGUGGGGAAUAUUGGACAAUGGGGGCAACCCUGAUCCAGCCAUGCCGCGUGUGUGAAGAAGGCCUUCGGGUUGUAAAGCACUUUCAGUGGUGAGGAAAGGGUAAUCGUUAAUAGCGGUUACAGUUGACGUUACCCACAGAAGAAGCACCGGCUAACUCCGUGCCAGCAGCCGCGGUAAUACGGAGGGUGCAAGCGUUAAUCGGAAUUACUGGGCGUAAAGCGUACGUAGGCGGUUUGUUAAGCAAGAUGUGAAAGCCCCGGGCUCAACCUGGGAAUGGCAUUUUGAACUGGCACGCUAGAGUCCUGAAGAGGGUGGUAGAAUUUCCAGUGUAGCGGUGAAAUGCGUAGAUAUUGGAAGGAAUCCCGGUGGCGAAGGCGGCCCCCUGGUCAGAGACUGACGCUGAGGUACGAAAGCGUGGGGAGCAAACAGGAUUAAAACCCUGGUAUUCCAGGGCCGUAA